GACGAACGCUGGCGGCGUGCUUAACACAUGCAAGUCGAACGGUGAAGGGGCCUGCUUUUGUGGGCCCUGGAUGAGUGGCGAACGGGUGAGUAACACGUGAGUAACCUGCCCCCUUCUUCUGGAUAACCGCAUGAAAGUGUGGCUAAUACGGGAUAUUCUGGGUCUGUCGCAUGAUGGGUCUGGGAAAGAUUGCGCCUUUGGGUGUUUUUGGUAGGGGAUGGGCUCGCGGCCUAUCAGCUUGUUGGUGGGGUGAUGGCCUACCAAGGCGGUGACGGGUAGCCGGCCUGAGAGGGUGGACGGUCACACUGGGACUGAGACACGGCCCAGACUCCUACGGGAGGCAGCAGUGGGGAAUAUUGCACAAUGGGCGCAAGCCUGAUGCAGCGACGCCGCGUGAGGGAUGGAGGCCUUCGGGUUGUAAACCUCUUUCGCCAGUGAAGCAGGCCUGCUCCUUGUGGGUGGGUUGACGGUAGCUGGAUAAGAAGCGCCGGCUAACUACGU
rnacentral:rRNA from 1 species